rnacentral:rRNA from 1 species
AUGGACGUGCACUCAGCUCCGUCUUGCCCUACUGAGGCGAGGGCACCUGUUGAGCAUCUAAUUGGGCAGUUUGCAUCCGGAAUGACCAGCUUGCUCGGGAAGUUGGUUGAGGGGUGGACGUCCCUUAAUGGCUCCGACAGCGACGCGGUUGCGAGGCAGUUCACUACAUUUGUCCCAGAACGGACACAUCGGCCAACUGGUUGCCGUGGCCAGUAUGACUACAACAGUUCCCAAGAGCUUGCUGACACACAAGAUGAACUAGAUGGAGACGCUGGUCUCAGCAAGGAUGACGACGAUGACAUGGAGAACGUGCAACAAGACACCGAUUAUGAUGAACACGUUGAAGUUCGUGCAGGUGGUAAGAAGGGCAAGGAUGCACGAGAUGUCCCCCCACCGGAGAAAGUCAAAGAACAUACGGCUGCGAGAGGCGAGGGGGUGUUGCCAUCAAAGAGGGGGAGGGCUCCAGAGGAUGUUGCGCAGGGUUCUCCUGGCAAGAGGUCUAGGACCGAUCCCAUCCGUACAUCGGGGAGUGACGAGUCGGUAUCUGCCAGGACAGCUGAAAUAUUGCCAACUCUUCUGGCAAUGAAGGAUGCUGCUGUGAGCCAUGCUACCCCAUCAGCAAGCGUUGAAGUGGACGCUCCCGAGACCAACCUAAGCAAGGAAGGUUCCCGCUCAUCUGACACUGAUUCCAAGCGCGUGCGUGGUGGCACUCCUAUGUCCACGACAGAAGUGGCUGAGGUGGCAGUUCAUAAUGAUGUGCCAUCUGCAGGUGAGAGUCUUGGCACAACAGCUCCAGCUCCUGUCGAUGCAGAUACUGCUAAGGCGACAGUUUCGCGUGCUGGUCUUCCACUGAGGAGUCAUAGCCCCCGCAAGCAAUCAACAGACAUACCCAACGCACUAGCUGUAGCUAGGAGCAGCAGAGAUGAGUAUGGUUAUGUUCCUGCGUCCACACUAUUCCCGCCACCUGCCAAAAGCAAUGUGAUGGAGAAACCGGAAGACCGGAGCACAACUGAUGCAGGUGUCAAGCCGGGCACGAGUGACACAGGUGAACGUCCGGAGCAGACUGCGCCUUUACCCGAAGUGGAAAUCCCCAGCUUAAAUCUGCGCACUUCCAGGCUCCCAGUCAAUGUUGGUGUCCCCUACAGCCCAAACAAGAAGAUUGUCAAGGAAGUUAUGGCUGAUACCGCUGACAAAACGCCCUGCCCUACAAAUAAGCCCGAUCAUUCUAUAGUGGUCGAUUCAGAUAUGUUUGUUGAUAUUUCACCCUUGGAUUCUGCCCCGCAAGUUGUUCGUGGUCCGGCCAGUAGGCAUGAGAGGCACCCAAUGGCCUUCACCCCACCGAGCUUUAGCCUUGGCAUCAGUCAAGAUCAACCAGUGGUGCCAGAUCCUAUGCCAGUUGCCUUUGCUUUCCCUUGA